rnacentral:rRNA from 1 species
UACAGAGGGGGCAAGCGUUGUUCGGAAUUACUGGGCGUAAAGGGCGCGUAGGCGGCCCGCUAAGUCGAACGUGAAAUCCCCGAGCUCAACUCGGGAACUGCGUCCGAUACUGGUGGGCUUGAAUCCGGGAGAGGGAUGCGGAAUUCCAGGUGUAGCGGUGAAAUGCGUAGAUAUCGGGAGGAACAUCAGUGGCGAAGGCGGCUACCUGGCCCAAUACUGACACUCAGGUGCGACAGCGUGGGGAGCAAACAGG